UACGUAGGCAGCAAGCGUUGUUCGGAUUUACUGGGCGUAAAGGGUGCGUAGGCGGCUUUUUAAGUCUGGUGUGAAAUCUCCCGGCUCAACUGGGAGGGUGCGCCGGAUACUGAGGGGCUAGAGUGUGGGAGAGGAAAGUGGAAUUCCUGGUGUAGCGGUGAAAUGCGUAGAUAUCAGGAGGAACACCGGUGGUGUAAACGGCUUUCUGGACCAUAACUGACGCUGAGGCCCGAAAGCGUGGGUAGCAAACAGG
rnacentral:rRNA from 1 species